rnacentral:snRNA from 1 species
AAAUGUGAGGACGGUCUGACUUCGGUAUCUGUCUGAUGAUUGUCUAGCUUAGGUGGGUGUCCCUUUCCUCCCUCAUUGCUCCUUGCAUGUUCCUGGCCAAAGCUGCACACUCAAAGAAAACCUUACCUGAGAGAGGAGGACAGGCCUUUGGUCAAGGCUACAAAGUAGCUGUCCUUUCCUGCUAAAAUCUCCAAACAAGCUCUCAAAAGUAGAUGCAGACGCUAUAUCCUAUUAAGAGUUCAGUUUCUGAAAAGCAUUCAUCA